CCGGCGCACGGGUGAGUAACACGUAUCCAACCUGCCGUCUACUCUUGGACAGCCUUCUGAAAGGAAGAUUAAUACAAGAUGGUAUCAUGAGUCCGCAUGUUCACAUGAUUAAAGGUGUUCCGGUAGACGAUGGGGAUGCGUUCCAUUAGAUAGUAGGCGGGGUAACGGCCCACCUAGUCUUCGAUGGAUAGGGGUUCUGAGAGGAAGGUCCCCCACAUUGGAACUGAGACACGGUCCAA
rnacentral:rRNA from 1 species